rnacentral:lncRNA from 1 species
GCGGCGGUGGCAGGAGGCGUGCGGCGGUGGCGGCGGCAGGAGGCAUGCAGGAGGCAGGAGGCAGGAGGGGAAGAGGCUAGCAGGGGAAGAGAGGAGAGUGGGGGAAGGGGGCCGGGCCGGGGGGGGUGUUUUAAUUUGUUGUGGGCCGUCUGUUUGUCGAGUGUUCUACGUGGACACUCGGUAAACGGUUGAUUUGCCGAGUGUCCACCAUAGGACACUCGGCAAAUGUUUUUUGAAAAAAAUUUAAAAAAUAUCCAACAGUUUCAAAAAAAUACCAAAUUUUCACACGAACCAAUAUAGGUUCUCUACUGACUAUACAAAAAGUUUUGUAGUCAAACCAAACUCGACUCUAAAUUUUAUCGAAUCCUUCUCAAAGUUACUAUUCUUCUUCUGAGAUGCUUCGGUUUGUAAUCAUCGUACAUGAUGAAAUGUGCAAAACCUUCUCAAUUUUUUUCCACAGCCUCCACGUAUUAUAUCAUCA